UUACUAAUUAGGAUAAUUUGUCAAUUUUUAAAUUCGAACAUCUUUAAAGAUGUAUUUACAUUCCUUAUUUUUUUUAAAAUACGGCUUACUGGCAAGAGAGGAAAAUAAUAUAUGUGAAUUCUUGUACGGUAUCCUUAUACGAUUUAUGAAUAUUGAAUAUUAAUGCAAUUGAACUUGACUCGGGAAAUUAUAAAUUGCAGAUAUAGUCGUCUGCAAGUCGGUGGAAUAAUUCUGGAAUUGUCAUAUAAGAUGGCGCUGACGUAUACUUCGAUCCACGAAGUGGCUGAGGAUUCUAAAGAAAAAGUCAGACGGAGCAGAGUCAAACCUAGAGAGAUCAUCCGAUCACAACUGACCUUGAGCUGGUUGCACGAGCAGCGAGGAAUAUUUAGGUCGCCACCUGCUGCAAUCCUGUCAAAACACUCCUCGAGCAGAUGCACCGUGACCAAGAAGUUGCGGCGAGGCGGAUGACGCGUGCACACCAGUAGGCGCAAGAAGUGGACGGAGGAGAAGGAGGCGGAGCCCGAAAGAUUUUGUAUGAUCGAGAAAGAAAAUUUGGAGAAAAAAAAUGGUAAAUCGUAUUGCACGCUUUAUUAAGCUUGACGGAUAUGACGUCAUCUGUCGAAUGAUCUCCUUUUGUCGACUCCUUUUGUCAGUCGCUAACCGACACCCUGGAUGGGUUAGGUUAAGCUAGGUACGUACAAACGCCUUCCUCGACUAACCAGUGUAAAUGGGAUUCAGCAUUGUAAAGCGCAUUUCCUUUCCGGUGAACUCCAUUGAGCUUCGAUGACAGACGGUCUAUCAAUCACCAGGUUGGUCUCCCGGAACGUAAAGCACGUCGCACGCGGAUCAAAUUUAAAAAGCAGGAUCCGACCGUGUAAUAACUCAAAGGCUUUUAAACGUAAGGUGUUAGCUCUGACGGAAAGGAUAUGAUCCUGGAGGACACGCGACAAUUUUUCCUGCAGAAUAAGGUGUCCAGGACGUCAGAUGCGUGCAGGUACAGGUACAAAGACCUUUUAUGAUGGAGCAAGAAGAGUGCGAUUAUAGUGAAGGAUAAAUGGGGCCCAGGUUAAGGGCCUUAACAGGUAACGAGUAGAUGCAACAUUGAGGUCUAUAGUCCCAAGUGAAUCUAGUCUGUAUAUGGUCGGGCUUCCAGUGUAUUCCUGCCGUGCGUCCAGUCAAUGGACAUGAUUCACUGCUGCCGGGUAUGCAGUUCGACCCAGGAGGCGAGGAGUCAGCAAUGCCAGAACCGACUGACUGGUAGACAGAGAGUCAAACGAAUGGAUGGAUGGAUGGAGUGAAAAGGAUUGAACCGAGGAGAAGACGCAAUCUCGCCUUCAAUUGCCCGUCCGCGGAACGGCAAGAACGCUAAAACCCAUUGGACUUGUAUAAAAGGGGACACGGAUUCCGUCGACUAGACUUCAAUGGAACAGACGUUGAAUCAUCGCGGUGCGUUUACGCGACCGCACUUAGUGCCCCAUGACGCCGCAGUCGCUACCACUAAGACUUCAACUACCAGCCGGUACCAGGAGUAACUAGCGUCGGUGUCUGUAAUGUUAACGUCGUCACCAAUGGCGUUACACGUGUUCUUUUCCUGAAACCGAUCACCAAGGAUCACCGGUAUUUUACGAAAUCGUCGUCCUUUGUACAUCUUGAAUUGCCCUUCGCAAAGUGGAAGACAAGAUACAAAAGGAUAUUGAGGGGAAGUUGGUUCUUCAUGUUCAUGAUAGUUUUGGUCUUACGAUUAGAAUAUUUUUUAGUGUGAAUUAAGAGCUAGGGUGAGCCCAUGGGAUACAAGGUCCCCUUAUGGUUUACUACUUCCUGUCUGAAGUCAAUCUUCUUAUUUGUAGUCUUGUGUUAGUCGAUAAAAUACGAGUUGAAAAUAUCUGUUACAUUUAAGUAUAUGAUUAUACGCUGUAUUUGAGGUUAGGUUAGGUUAGAUAUUCAUGUUUUAUCUCUAGUUUCAUGUAGGACUCACUCGGAACAAGGAUAAUUAAUAGGUCCAUUAUAUUCAGACGAUGCGAAACGGUUCCUCGUCUCAGAGGAAGGUGGAGUUUGGUUAGGUAGGUUAAGGUGAGGUUAGGUCAGGGUAACGUCACAGGUGUCUUUCUAGGCUGUUGUAAUACGUAGAUACCCCGUCGCAAGGACAAGAAAGAGGUCUGGGGUGAGGUCGCCAUUGUCUUUCGAUACAGGGAGCCUCUUGGUUUCUUCGUGAAUGGAAGAGGGAGCCACGUGCAGAAAUUCGGAUGGGCAGGACUCGGCUGGGCCACUUUGGGCCCUGCUGACGUUUUUGUCGCAAUCAGGCCCAUUUGAGCACAUUGAUCGCAUUAGGUUAUACGGGCCGCCGUACGGAAUACUAAGCAAUCCUGCACCACCACUUCUUUCUUUAUCUCCUCCUUGAUUUACCGCACCGUUCCUGCUGCACCCUAUGCGUUCCAGACAUAUUAUGGGUUGUACGAUACUCCUUUAAAUGACCAAAAACAUUUUAUUACUGAAUCCUCGCGCAUAGUCGAUUCACUUUGACUACUCUUGUCAUUCCAUGAACUUUACGGCAGGUCGAAUAUCGUUUUUAUAGUCAAAUGCGUUUCUCAUAGAGCCAUCGAAUAUUGGAAAUAAUUAUUUAUAAGAAAAAUUGUAAAGAAAUUUCAC